GUUUCCAUAGUGUAGUGGUUAUCACAUUCGUCUCCCACUCGAAAGAUCCCCAGUUCGAAACUGGGUGGAAACA